CCUACGGGAGGCAGCAGUGAGGAAUAUUGGUCAAUGGACGAGAGUCUGAACCAGCCAAGUAGCGUGAAGGAUGACUGCUCUAUGGGUUGUAAACUUCUUUUAUAUGGGAAUAAAACGUUCCACGUGUGGGAUUUUGUAUGUACCAUAUGAAUAAGGAUCGGCUAACUCCGUGCCAGCAGCCGCGGUAAUACGGAGGAUCCGAGCGUUAUCCGGAUUUAUUGGGUUUAAAGGGAGCGUAGGUGGAUUGUUAAGUCAGUUGUGAAAGUUUGCGGCUCAACCGUAAAAUUGCAGUUGAAACUGGCAGUCUUGAGUACAGUAGAGGUGGGCGGAAUUCGUGGUGUAGCGGUGAAAUGCUUAGAUAUCACGAAGAACUCCGAUUGCGAAGGCAGUUCACUGGACUGCAACUGACACUGAGGCUCGAAAGUGUGGGUAUCAAACAGGAUUAGAUACACCUGUAGUC
rnacentral:rRNA from 1 species